UGUUGUUGUUGUUUAGUCGUUUAGUCGUGUCCGACUCUUCGUGACCCCAUGGACCAGAGCACGCCUGGCACUCCUGUCUUCCACUGCCUCCCACAGUUUGGUCAGACUCAUGUUUGUAGCUUCCAGAACACUGUCCAACCAUCUCGUCCUCUGUUGUCCCCUUCUCCUUGUGCCCUCCAUCUUUCCCAACAUCAGGGUCUUUUCCAGGGAGUCUUCUCUUCUCAUGAGGUGGCCAAAGUAUUGGAGCCUCAGCUUCAGGAUCUGUCCUUCCAGUGAGCACUCAGGGCUGAUUUCCUUAAGAAUGGAUACGUUUGAUCUUCUUGCAGUCCAUGGGACUCUCAAGAGUCUCCUCCAGCACCAUAAUUCAAAAGCAUCAAUUCUUCGGCGAUCAGCCUUCUUUAUGUUCCAGCUCUCACUUCCAUACAUCACUACUGGGGAAACCAUGGCUUUAACUAUGCAGACCUUUGUUGGUAAGGUGAUGUCUCUGCUUUUUAAGAUGCUGUCUAGGUUUGCCAUCGCCUUUCUCCCAAGGAGCAGGUGUCUUUUAAUUUCAUGACUGCUGUCACCAUCUGCAGUGAUCAUGGAGCCCAAGAAAGUAAAAUCUCUCACUGCCUCCAUUUCUUCCCCUUCUACUUGCCAGGAGGUGAUGGGCCCAGUGGCCAUGAUCUUCGUUUUUUUGAUGUUGAGCUUCAGACCAUAUUUUGCGCUCUCCUCUUUCACCCUCAUUAAAAGGUUCUUUAAUUCCUCCUCAUUUUCUGCCAUCAAGGUUGUGUCAUCUGCAUAUCUGAGGUUGUUGAUAUUUCUUCCGGCGAUCUUAAUUCCGGCUUGGGAAUCAUCCAGUCCAGCCUUUCGCAUGAUGAAUUCUGCAUAUAAGUUAAAUAAGCAGGGGGACAAUAUACAGCCUUGCCGUACUCCUUUCCCAAUUUUGAACCAAUCAGUUGUUCCAUAUCCAGUUCUAACUGUAGCUUCUUGUCCCACAUAGAGAUUUCUCAGGAGACAGUUGAUGUGAUCAGGCACUCCCAUUUCUUUAAGAACUUGCCAUAGUUUGUUGUGGUCGACACAGUCAAAGGCUUUUGCAUAGUCAAUGAAGCAGAAGUAGAUGUCUUUCUGGAACUCUCUAGCUUUCUCCAUAAUCCAGCGCAUGUUUGCAAUUUGGUCUCUGGUUCCUCUGCCUCUUCUAAAUCCAGCUUGCACUUCUGGGAGUUCUCGGUCCACAUACUGCUUAAGCCUGCCUUGUAGAAUUUUAAGCAUAACCUUGCUAGCGUGUGAAAUGAGUGCAAUUGUGCGGUAGUUGGAGCAUUCUUUGGCACUUCCCUUCUUUGGGAUUGGGAUGUAGACUGAUCUUCUCCAAUCCUCUGGCCACUGCUGAGUUUUCCAAAUUUGCUGGCAUAUUGAGUGUAGCACCUUAACAGCAUCAUCUUUAAAAUUUUAAAUAGUUCAGCUGGAAUAUCAUCACUUCCACUGGCCUUGUUAUUAGCAAUGCUUUCUAAGGCCCAUUUGACUUCACUCUCCAGGAUGUCUGGCUCAAGGUCAGCAACCACACUACCUGGGGUAUACGAGACAUCCAUUUCUUUCUGGUAUAGUUCCUCUGUGUAUUCUUGCCACCUCUUCUUGAUGUCUUCUGCUUCUGUUAGGUCCUUUCCACUUUUGUCUUUUAUUAUGGAAAUCUUUGUACCAAAUGUUCCUUUCAUAUCUCCAAUUUUCUUGAACAGAUCUCUGGUUUUUCCCAUUCUAUUGUUUUCCUCUAUUUCUUUGCAUUGCUCGUUUAUGAAGGCCUCCUUGUCUCUCCUUGCUAUUUUUUGGAAAUCUGCAUUCAAUUUCCUGUAUCUUUCACUAUCUCCCUCGCAUUUUGCUUGCCUUCUCUCCCCCACUAUUUGUAAGGCCUCGUUGGACAGCCACUUUGCUUUCUUGCAUUUCCUUUUCAUUGGGAUGGUUUUAGUUGCUGCCUCUUGUAUAAUGUUACGAGCCUCCAUCCAUAGUUCUUCAGGCACUCUGUCCACCAAAUCUAAAUCCUUAAACCUGUUCCUUACUUCCAAUGUGUAUUCAUAAGGGAUUUGACCUAGAUUGUAUCUUACCAGCCCAGUGGUUUUUCCUACUUUCUUCAGUUUAAGCUUGAAUUUUGCUAUAAGAAGCUGAUGAUCUGAGCCACAGUCAGCUCCAGGUCUUGUUUUUGCUGACUGUAUAGAGCUUCUCCAUCUUUGGCUGCAGAGAAUAUAAUCAAUCUGAUUUCGAUGCUGCCCAUCUGGUGAUGUCCAUGUGUAGAGUCGUCUCUUGUGUUGUUGGAAAAGAGUAUUUGUGAUGACCAGCUUGUUCUCUUGGCAGAACUCUAUUAGCCUUUGCCCUGCUUCAUUUUGAACUCCAAGGCCAAACUUGCCAGUUGUUCCUUUUAUCUCUUGACUCCCUACUUUAGCAUUCCAAUCCCCUAUAAUGAGAAGAACAUCCUUCUUUGGUGUCAUUUCUAUAAGGUGUUGUAAGUCUUCAUAGAAUUGGUCAAUUUCAGUUUCUUCAGCACCAGUGGUUGGUGCAUAAACUUGGAUUACUGUGAUGUUAAAAGGUCUGCCUUGGAUUCGUAUCGAGAUCAUUCUAUCAUUUUUGAGAUUGCAUCCCAGUACAGCUUUUGCCACUCUUUUGUUGACUAUGAGGGCCACUCCAUUUCUUUUACGGGAUUCUUGCCCACAGUAGUAGAUGUGAUGGUCAUCCGAACUGAAUUCGCCCAUUCCCGUCCAUUUUAGUUCACUGAUGCCCAGGAUGUCAAUAUUUAUUCUUGCCAUCUCAUUUUUUACCACAUCCAACUUACCCAGGUUCAUGGUUCUUACAUUCCAGGUUCCUAUGCAAUAUUUUUCUUUACAGCAUUGGACUUUCCUUUCGCUUCCAGGCAUAUCCGCAACUGAGCGUCCUUUUGGCUUUGGCCCAGCCGCUUCAUCAGCUCUGAAUCUACUUGUACUUGUCCUCCGCUCUUCCUCAGUAGCAUGUUGGAUGCCUUCCGACCUGAGGGGCUCAUCUUCCAGCGUCAUAACUUUUAUAUGCCUGUUGUCUUUGUCCAUGGAGUUUUCUUGGCAGGGAUACUGGAGUGGCUUGCCGGUUCCUGCUCCAGGUGGAUCAUGUUUGGUCAAAACUCUCCACUAUGACCUGUCCAUCUUGGGUGGCCCUGCACGGCAUAGCUCAUAGCUUCUCUGAGUUAUUCAAGCCCCUUUGCCACGGCAAGGCAGUGAUCCAUGAAGGG